UUACCUGUUUUGAUUUUAUUACAAGGAAAAUGUUUCAAAGAUAAAUAAGAAAAAACUGAAAUGGCAUGAUUUUUUGGGGUUGAGUUGGCGUCAUCAUCUAGCAAGGGUGGUUGACCUGCUAGCAUAUCUAUUUAAGAUAUUACUUUAUUAAUGAGUUUUUUUCCCUGCUUAAAUACUAUUCGGGUAAUGAUUUUCAAUGAUGUAAUAGUAAGGCAUGAUGUGGAUUGGAUAGAACAAUCUAAAUACUAUGUCCAUGGUUUGUUGAUGACAUCACAAGACAUAAUGCCAUAGUUGUCAUGGGGAAAGCAUGAGCAAGAGCUUUGAUAGCGGGGAACAGACAGAGACAGACAGUUGAGUGGUGGAUUUUGGUCAAAGGUAAUCUAGGAGAGACGACGAGGAGAGGGAACGUGGACGAAAAUGCCCUUCAGAAGAUGGCAGAGGAUAAAACGGUUGGAGAGGAAAGGCGACAGAGGAGGGAGAAAACCUGGGAAGAGAUGUAUCUGGAGAAGGCGCA